UACGGGGGGAGCAAGCGUUGUUCGGAUUUACUGGGCGUAAAGGGCGCGUAGGCGGUCAGCACAAGUCAGUUGUGAAAUCUCCGAGCUUAACUCGGAAAGGUCAACUGAUACUGUGCGACUAGAGUGCGGAAGGGGCAACUGGAAUUCUUGGUGUAGCGGUGAAAUGCGUAGAUAUCAAGAGGAACACCUGCGGCGAAGGCGGGUUGCUGGCCCUCUUCUGACGCUGAGGCGCGAAAGCCAGGGGAGCGAACGGG
rnacentral:rRNA from 1 species